AUCGCCUUCCCCCACCCAGCCCGGUUCCUCCUCGAGUCGCGCCGCCUGGGGCAGCGCAGACGCCCGCCCGUCCGCUCUCCACCGCUCCUCGCUGACCUCUCUCCGCCCAACUACAGUGCUGCGCUCCUUUCCCCAACCACCAAGACUACCAACCACAGCAUCAAAGCCUGCCGUUGUGCCUUGAGUCAAGGGCCUACGGAGCCACGGCAAGCUGCAGCACUCAGCGACUCACGGCCAAGGAAAUCAAGAAGUUCCUUGGCCAGGAGAUCGUCAGUAUUCACAAGUCCAAAAUCCAAUUCCCGUUGAUAGCUUCUAUUAUGUUUC
rnacentral:lncRNA from 1 species